rnacentral:rRNA from 1 species
AAUAUUGGUCAAUGGAGGGAACUCUAAACCAGCCAUCCCGCGUGUAGGAAGACGGCCUUAUGGGUUGUAAACUACUUUUAUACAGGAAGAAACGUACCCUCGUGAGGGUGCCUGACGGUACUGUAGGAAUAAGCACCGGCUAACUCCGUGCCAGCAGCCGCGGUAAUACGGAGGGUGCGAGCGUUAUCCGGAUUUAUUGGGUUUAAAGGGUCCGUAGGCGGGUUAAUAAGUCAGUGGUGAAAUCCCAUCGCUUAACGAUGGAACUGCCAUUGAUACUGUUAGUCUUGAAUGAGGGUGCAGUGGUUGGAAUGUGUAGUGUAGCGGUGAAAUGCAUAGAUAUUACACAGAACACCGAUUGCGAAGGCAGAUCACUAACCCUAAAUUGACGCUGAGGGACGAAAGCGUGGGGAGCGAACA